GCCUGGCUGGUUCAGUUGGUAGAGCAUGUGAGUCUUAAUCUCAGGGUUGUGAGUUUACACCUCAUGUCAGGUG
rnacentral:tRNA from 1 species